UACGAAGGGGGGCUAGCGUUGCUCGGAAUUACUGGGCGUAAAGCGCACGUAGGCGGCUUUCUAAGUCGGGGGUGAAAUCCUGGAGCUCAACUCCAGAACUGCCUUCGAUACUGGAGAGCUCGAGUCCGGGAGAGGUGAGUGGAACUGCGAGUGUAGAGGUGAAAUUCGUAGAUAUUCGCAAGAACACCAGUGGCGAAGGCGGCUCCACUGGCCCGGUACUGAC
rnacentral:rRNA from 1 species